UGAAUACGAGACGCUAAGGCGUCGAAGUAGUGUAUGUCAUACUUCCAAGAAAAGCUUGCACUGUCAUAGAUAAAAAACGCCUGUACCAUAACCGACACAGGUGGGUAGGUAGAGUAUACUAAGGGGCGCGAGAUAACUCUCUCUAAGGAACUCGGCAAAAUAACUCCGUAACUUCGGGAGAAGGAGUGCCUUAUUCGUAAGGUUGCAAUAACAAGAUCCAAGCAACUGUUUAUCAAAAACACAGGUCUCCGCUAAGUCGUAAGACGAUGUAUGGGGGCUGACGCCUGCCCAGUGCCAGAAGGUUAAAGAAGUUGGUUAGCAAUUGCGAAGCUGAUAACUGAAGCCCUGGUGAACGGCGGCCGUAACUAUAACGGUCCUAAGGUAGCGAAAUUCCUUGUCGGGUAAGUUCCGACCCGCACGAAAGGCGUAAUGAUUUGGAUACUGUCUCGGAGAGGGGCUCGGUGAAAUAGACUUGUCUGUGAAGAUGCGGACUACCUGCACCAGGACAGAAAGACCCUAUGAAGCUUUACUGUAACUUGAAAUUGAAAUUGGACUUUAUUCGCGCAGUAUAGGUGGGAGGCGUUGAUUAUAAUCUUGUGGGAUUAUUGGAGCCAUCAGUGAGAUACCACUCUUGUAAUGUUAGAUUUCUAACUUUGAAUCAUUAUCUGGUCAAAGAACAGUUUCAGGCGGGCAGUUUGACUGGGGCGGUCGCCUCCUAAACGGUAACGGAGGCGUACAAAGGUUUCCUCUGAACGGUUAGAAAUCGUAUCUAGAGUGUAAAGGCAUAAGGAAGCUUGACUGUGAGACCUACAAGUCGAGCAGGGACGAAAGUCGGUCUUUGAUCUGACGGUACUGAGUGGAAAGGCCGUCACUCAACGGAUAAAAGUUACUCUAGGAUAACAGGCUGAUCUCCCCCAAGAGUUCACAUCGACGGGGAGGUUUGGCACCUCGAUGUCGGCUCAUCGCAUCCUGGGGCGGUAGUACGUCCCAAGGGUUGGGCUGUUCGCCCAUGAAAGCGGUACGCGAGCUGGGUUCAGAACGUCGUGAGACAGUUCGGUCCAUAUCCGGUGUAGGCGUUAGAAUAUUGAGAGGAGCCUUCUUUAGUACGAGAGGACCGAGAAGGACAUACCUCUGGUGUACCAGUUAUCGUGCCAACGGUAAACGCUGGGUAGUUAUGUAUGGAGUGGAUAACCGCUGAAAGCAUCUAAGUGGGAAGCCCACCUCAAGAUAAGUAUUCUCAU
rnacentral:rRNA from 1 species